ensembl:rRNA 5S_rRNA 5S ribosomal RNA
AUCUAUGGCCAUACCACACUGAUCCUAGAAGCCAAGCAGUGUCCGGACUGGCCAGUACUUAGAUGGGAGUCUGGGAAUACCGGGGGUUGUAGACU